UACUAGGUGACAUAAUGGCAAUGCAUUGGAUUCACAAUCCUGGAAUGACGGUUCGACUCCGUCCCAUUUAU
rnacentral:tRNA from 1 species